GGACAUGAAGGUAAUCUGACUGUGGCAUCUGUCACUCCAUUGUUUGUAGGGUUGAUCUGGCCAGUCCUACUGACUAGGCAGGUCUCUGUCACCUUCCUUCCUCACUGCUUCACCUAAGUCCCUCCCAGAGCUGUGUUCUCUGUCAAAGAGGAUGGCUUUCCUGGUAUAGAAACUGACAGGUUUAUGAGUAACUAUGCUCCCCUGUUAUAACCUCCAAAAUAAGUCCCCAAAAUGCUAAAGAACCAAAAGGCAAGAGAAAGCAGGGGUGCCUCUGGCACACAAGGGCU
rfam:Erinaceus europaeus unplaced genomic scaffold scaffold00143, whole genome shotgun sequence